UACGAAGGGGGCUAGCGUUGUUCGGAAUUACUGGGCGUAAAGCGCGCGUAGGCGGAUUUUUAAGUCAGAGGUGAAAACCCAGGGCUCAACCCUGGAACUGCCUUUGAUACUGGAGAUCUAGAGUAUGGAAGAGGUGAGUGGAAUUCCGAGUGUAGAGGUGAAAUUCGUAGAUAUUCGGGGGAACACCAGUGGCGAAGGCGGCUCACUGGUCCAUUACUGACGCUGAGGUGCGAAAGCGUGGGGAGCAAAC
rnacentral:rRNA from 1 species